CACGUCGGGGACACCUGUCCUCACGCCUGGGGGUUGGGGGCCCGGAAGGGAAGAAUUUUUCCAACCGCUCUGGCGAGGCUGGCAUCACGGGCUCCAUUUACAGAUCGAGAGGCAGGGGGAGGGAGCCCAGAGGCGUUUUCUGCUCCAUCGACGGCCCCCCAAGACGUCCGUGUUAGAAAAAGCUCACGGAGAUUCUGGACGUGAAAUCGAGUGUGUUCUCAAGAUGCUGGGAGCACUGUGCGCGAGCCACCUAAACGCGGACCCCGCCGUCAAGCGCCAUCUUCCUGCACGACUGACCUUUCUCCUGACCCUGCGUCUCCUCAUUGGACGGGAAGUCCCUCCAGGGUGGGACUUAGUCUCAGGAAGGUCUGCUUCCGCCGGUGUCUGCCAGACCCAGGGCAUGGUUUGGAUGAGGCAGGUUAAUAAAAGUUUGUUGAGUGACUUAA